GGCUCAGAGCGAACGCUGGCGGCAGGCUUAACACAUGCAAGUCGAAGCGGGCGUAGCAAUACGUCAGCGGGCAGACGGGUGAGUAACGCGUGGGAACGUACCUUUUGGUUCGGAACAACACAGGGAAACUUGUGCUAAUACCGGAUAAGCCCUUACGGGGAAGAUUUAUCGCCGAAAGAUCGGCCCGCGUCUGAUUAGCUAGUUGGUGAGGUAAUGGCUCACCAAGGCGACGAUCAGUAGCUGGUCUGAGAGGAUGAUCAGCCACAUUGGGACUGAGACACGGCCCAAACUCCUACGGGAGGCAGCAGUGGGGAAUAUUGGACAAUGGGCGCAAGCCUGAUCCAGCCAUGCCGCGUGAGUGAUGAAGGCCCUAGGGUUGUAAAGCUCUUUUGUGCGGGAAGAUAAUGACGGUACCGCAAGAAUAAGCCCCGGCUAACUUCGUGCCAGCAGCCGCGGUAA
rnacentral:rRNA from 1 species